GCUAUAAUCCAACUAGGGGAACUUGUCCCUUGAUUCGAUAAUCCACGAAAAUCUUACUUACCUUAGUUAUAUCAGCUUGUAUACCGUCGUCUAGCUAGCCUUACCAAAAGGAUGGAAGCUAGCAAAAAAGGUAAUCACCCCUAAAAAGACAGAUAAAGGCGCAGCUAAUGGGUAAGGGAAGGAUGCGUUACAGUUGAAAAUUCGACAGUGGAAUUUAAAUGAAAUUUUUAAAUGAAAGAGGACUUAGAAGUAAUUUUUAGAAAAAACUAAUAAUGAAUUGUUAGGCUCUAUAGUGUGU
rnacentral:rRNA from 1 species